GACAGAGGGUGCGAACGUUGCUCGGAAUUACUGGGCGUAAAGCGCGUGCAGGCGGCCCUGCACGUCCGGUGUGAAAGGCCCGGGGCUCAACCCCGGAAGCGCGCUGGAAACGACGGGGCGUGGAGGGCUGGAGAGGCGGGCGGAAUUCCCGGUGUAGAGGUGAAAUUCCGUAGAUAUCGGGAGGAACACCGGUGGCGAAGGCGGCCCGCUGGACAGCGCCUGACGCUGAGACGCGAAAGCGUGGGUAGCAAACAGG
rnacentral:rRNA from 1 species